GACGAACGCUGGCGGCGUGCUUAACACAUGCAAGUCGAACGGAAAGGCCCUGCUUUUGUGGGGUGCUCGAGUGGCGAACGGGUGAGUAACACGUGAGUAACCUGCCCUUGACUUUGGGAUAACUUCAGGAAACUGGGGCUAAUACCGGAUAGGAGCUCCUGCUGCAUGGUGGGGGUUGGAAAGUUUCGGCGGUUGGGGAUGGACUCGCGGCUUAUCAGCUUGUUGGUGGGGUAGUGGCUUACCAAGGCUUUGACGGGUAGCCGGCCUGUGAGGGUGACCGGCCACAUUGGUACUGAGAUACGGCCCAGACUCCUACGGGAGGCAGCAGUGGGGAAUAUUGCACAAUGGGCGGAAGCCUGAUGAAGCAACGCCGCGUGCGGGAUGACGGCCUUCGGGUUGUAAACCGCUUUCGCCUGUGACGAAGCGUGAGUGACGGUAAUGGGUAAAGAAGCACCGGCUAACUACGUG
rnacentral:rRNA from 1 species